rnacentral:rRNA from 1 species
CACGUGGGGGGCAAGCGUUGUCUGGAUUUAUUGGGCGUAAAGAGCUCGUAGGCGGCUUAGUAAGUCGGGUGUGAAACCUCCAGGCUCAACCUGGAGACGCCACCCGAUACUGCUGUGGCUAGAGUCCGGUAGGGGAGCGUGGAAUUCCUGGUGUAGCGGUGAAAUGCGCAGAUAUCAGGAGGAACACCAGCGGCGAAGGCGGCGCUCUGGGCCGGUACUGACGCUGAGGAGCGAAAGCGUGGGGAGCAAACAGG